CCAACGGUCCUUUUCAGGGCCACAUUUUAUUGUUGAAAAACAAUUU
rfam:Trichinella papuae scaffold99s, whole genome shotgun sequence.